rnacentral:lncRNA from 1 species
CCAUGGAACUCCAGUUGAGAAAAUAAGUGAAUCACAAUUGAUACAUUUUAUUGUCCAUAUGCUAUCUUACCAGAUUUCUGGCACUUUUUACUCAUCCUUUUUAUUCUUAAUCUGCAGUGAUUAAAGAACCUGCAGUUUCUGACAAUCAGCCCAAAGUACCAACUUUAGUCUGACUCCAGCAAAAUGAAGACACCCAAAUCAAAGAAGAAAAUUCAAGGAGUAAUUCAAAUUUUGUCCAUGAAAAUUCCCACCAGAAAUUGGAUUUGUAAUCCUGGAAUUGUCAUACUGGAUCCAAAGUGUAAUCUAAUUGGUUUUCCUUUCCACUCCUGGCAAUAUAUGGAACGCUCCAGAGAAAAACAGAUCUCUAACCACACCUUUGUGAAAAAAUGAAAAUUCUUAAUAUUAAUGCAAACCUUGAACCACAUUCUCGUGUCUUUAUAACAAUAAACUCUUUGAAGCAGGA